UACGUAGGGUGCGAGCGUUAAUCGGAAUUACUGGGCGUAAAGUGUGCGCAGGCGGCCGCGCAAGUCGAGUGUGAAAGCCCCGGGCUUAACUUGGGAAUUGCGCUCGAAACUACGUGGCUAGAGUGUGGCAGAGGGAGGUGGAAUUCCACGUGUAGCGGUGAAAUGCGUAGAGAUGUGGAGGAACACCGAUGGCGAAGGCAGCCUCCUGGGCCAACACUGACACUGAGGCACGAAAGCGUGGGGAGCAAACAGG
rnacentral:rRNA from 1 species